AUGAACACUGACACCGUGGAUAUUGUGAAGGAUGAAAUCGUUCAUGGUUCAACAUCUAGUGAUCCACCUUCAUCCUUGGACUGGAGGUUGAAAGGAGCUGUCACUCCUGUUAAGAAUCAAGGCCCUUGUGGUUGUUGCUGGGCAUUCGCAUGUGUUGGAGCCAUAGAAGGAAUAGUUGCAAUAAAGAAAGGGAAGCUUAUAAGCCUCUCAGAGCAAGAACUUCUAGAUUGUGUACCAAAUAAAGGUUGUGGUGGAGGAUCUAAGUCUGAUGGAUUCAAAUGGGUAAUAGGAAACAAAGGGGUUGCGAGACAAGAUGAUUAUCCUUAUACGGCAAAGAAGGAUGUUUGCAGAUCUGGCCAGAUUUCAAACAGUGCAAAUAGUGAUAUUGAUUCAUAUUAUCUCGUGGAUAGAACUGAGAGAGGACUAUUGGCUGUUGUUGCUAAGCAGCCUCUUAGUGUUAGUAUUUAUGCGAAGUCUCCCGAGUUUCAACUUUACACCAGUGGAAUAUUUAGAGGUGACGAUUGUCCCGUGGAUUCUUUGGAGGUAACUCAUGGCAUGCUUAUAGUGGGUUAUGAUUCCAUAGAAG